GAGGGUAUAGCUCAAGUGGUAGAGCACAUUCUUAGCAUGCAUGAGGUCCUGGGUUCAAUUCCCAGUACUUCCU
rnacentral:tRNA from 1 species